rnacentral:rRNA from 1 species
ACGUACAAGCAGUGGGAGCACAGGUUUACCUGUGUGACUGCGUACCUUUUGUAUAAUGGGUCAGCGACUUAUAUUCUGUAGCAAGGUUAACCGAAUAGGGGAGCCGGAGGGAAACCGAGUCUUAACCGGGCGUUAAGUUGCAGGGUAUAGACCCGAAACCCGGUGAUCUAGCCAUGGGCAGGUUGAAGGUUGGGUAACACUAACUGGAGGACCGAACCGACUAAUGUUGAAAAAUUAGCGGAUGACCUGUGGCUGGGGGUGAAAGGCCAAUCAAACCGGGAGAUAGCUGGUUCUCCCCGAAAGCUAUUUAGGUAGCGCCUCGUGAAUUCAUCUCCGGGGGUAGAGCACUGUUUCGGCUAGGGGGCCAUCCCGGCUUACCAACCCGAUGCAAACUGCGAAUACCGGAGAAUGUUAUCACGGGAGACACACGGCGGGUGCUAACGUCCGUCGUGAAGAGGGAAACAACCCAGACCGCCAGCUAAGGUCCCAAAGUCAUGGUUAAGUGGGAAACGAUGUGGGAAGGCCCAGACAGCCAGGAUGUUGGCUUAGAAGCAGCCAUCAUUUAAAGAAAGCGUAAUAGCUCACUGGUCGAGUCGGCCUGCGCGGAAGAUGUAACGGGGCUAAACCAUGCACCGAAGCUGCGGCAGCGA